GGGUUGUAUUCCUUUGGUUAUUCUUCUCAACAUUAUGGUGGAGCUACCUUGUUCAGUGCUAAAGGGCUAUUGGCACUUUUCUCCAUCUUGAAAGAUCGCCUACCCAUCACUCAGUCAUCGUAUGCUUUGAAGGAGUGCUUCAGUGGGCAUCUCGCUUUGGCAUGGGAAGUAUUGAAAAAUUUUGUUGCUCUGGUUGAGGGGUUGCAGAGGUGGCCAUCUGGGCUUUUCGAUGCCUUGUCCUCCACAAUUAGGUCUUGGACCUUUCUAGAGGGCUUGCUUC
rnacentral:lncRNA from 1 species